rnacentral:rRNA from 1 species
CGUGCUUAACACAUGCAAGUCGAACGAUGAACCCGGAGCUUGCUCCGGUGGAUUAGUGGCGAACGGGUGAGUAACGCGUGGGGACAUGCCCUUCAGUUCGGGAUAACCCAGGGAAACUUGGGCUAAUACCGGAUACGUGCGAGAGCAGAAAGAUUUAUCGCUGAAGGAUCGGCCCGCGUCUGAUUAGCUAGUUGGUGGGGUAAUGGCCCACCAAGGCGACGAUCAGUAGCUGGUCUGAGAGGAUGAUCAGCCACAUUGGGACUGAGACACGGCCCAAACUCCUACGGGAAGCAGCAGUGGGGAAUAUUGGACAAUGGGCGCAAGCCUGAUCCAGCCAUGCCGCGUGAGUGAUGAAGGCCUUAGGGUUGUAAAGCUCUUUCGUCCGGGACGAUAAUGACGGUACCGGAAGAAGAAGCCCCGGCUAACUUCGUGCCAGCAGCCGCCGUAA